UCUCCUGGAAAACGGGUGGUAAUGCCGGAUGCUCCAGUUGAUCGCAUGGUCUUCUGGGAAAGCUUUCGCGGUAUGGGAUGGGGUCGCGUCCUAUCAGCUUGACGGCGGGGUAACGGCCCACCGUGGCUUCGACGGGUAGCCGGCCUGAGAGGGCGACCGGCCACAUUGGGACUGAGAUACGGCCCAGACUCCUACGGGAGGCAGCAGUGGGGAAUAUUGCACAAUGGGCGCAAGCCUGAUGCAGCGACGCCGCGUGAGGGAUGGAGGCCUUCGGGUUGUAAACCUCUUUUAUCGGGGAGCAAGCGAGAGUGAGUUUACCCGUUGAAUAAGCACCGGCUAACUACGUGCCAGCAGCCGCGGUAAUACGUAGGGUGCAAGCGUUAUCCGGAAUUAUUGGGCGUAAAGGGCUCGUAGGCGGUUCGUCGCGUCCGGUGUGAAAGUCCAUCGCUUAACGGUGGAUCCGCGCCGGGUACGGGCGGGCUUGAGUGCGGUAGGGGAGACUGGAAUUCCCGGUGUAACGGUGGAAUGUGUAGAUAUCGGGAAAGAACACCA
rnacentral:rRNA from 3 species